CUUAUACUACACAACAAUUUCCCAAUGCAGAUGGAUGUUAAAGAAAGAAUGACACAUUGUACUUAAUGUUAUGGAACAUCCAUAAAAAACUGAGCUCCUAUUACUCAUGUAAUCGCAGCUAUAAAACAUCCCUCACAGAAUAACUAAUAUUUCUGUUUUCCCCCCAUGAGGAAGUGCAUUCAAAUAAUUACAUGAACAAAUGAAUUAAUGGGUCAAAGAGUGAAUAACUGAAAGAAAGAACGAGUAGAAAAAAGGAAGUCUGUUUCCAUGGAGAUCCACACUGCGUUUGUGUAGGCUUUUGGGUCAUUUCAGUUGGAACCCCACACUUACUGCCUCACUCUCUCCAUCAGAAACGGGCUGAGACUCGGAGCGAUGGUGGAUUGCCGAAUAAACCCAGCUCCUGUCUUCUGGGGGCUGCGGUUACACCACCAACACAACAGCAGGGGGCGUCACAGAGGUACGCACACACAGACAGAUGGCCACGCAGCACGGACAACAUGAGAGAAAGACAGAUAAAGAGACAAGAGUGCGACAGACAGAGAAAGCAAAAGCAUGAGCAUCACUAUGCCUCUGAUUUCCCUGGCGAGUUUGUGGACUCUGAAGCAGGAGCUGAGCAAAAACAGAGGUAUGAGAACAUUCAGAAGUUCAGCGAGGAGGCCAGGUGGUUGGAGCAGUCAGAGGCACUGCAGCAGGCCAGGAGGAAAUAUAAAAGUAAUGAAUCACAAACAGUGAGGACUUCCGAGGUGUUGAAGGAUCCUUAUCAGAAACAGUAAAAGAAGUGUGGUACAGUGAACUUCCUUUUUGAACAUGCAUAUGUGAUAAUUGUAUGCUGCAUGACUGAAUGCAAAACAGUGUGCUUUCUAUUAAGAAAUGCUACUAAAGGAGAAGUGCUGACCUGAAUUUCCUGUGAUAUCUUUCCACUUCCUGAUAUCAUUAAAGCUGUAGUUCAGAAGAAAGACUUUAAAAUGUGUAAUAGCUGUUAUCAUAAUUUUAUAGUAUAUGAUUGUGAGUGAAUUUGUGUCAUUGGAUUAGAUUUAUA
ensembl:lncRNA